rnacentral:rRNA from 1 species
AGUGAACGCUGGCGGUAGGCCUAACACAUGCAAGUCGAACGGCAGCACAGUAAGAGCUUGCUCUUACGGGUGGCGAGUGGCGGACAGGUGAGGAAUACAUCGGAAUCUACUUUUUCGUGGGGGAUAACGUAGGGAAACUUACGCUAAUACCGCAUACGACCUACGGGUGAAAGCAGGGGAUCUUCGGACCUUGCGCGAUUGAAUGAGCCGAUGUCGGAUUAGCUAGUUGGCGGGGUAAAGGCCCACCAAGGCGACGAUCCGUAGCUGGUCUGAGAGGAUGAUCAGCCACACUGGAACUGAGACACGGUCCAGACUCCUACGGGAGGCAGCAGUGGGGAAUAUUGGACAAUGGGCGCAAGCCUGAUCCAGCCAUACCGCGUGGGUGAAGAAGGCCUUCGGGUUGUAAAGCCCUUUUGUUGGGAAAGAAAAGCAGCAGGUUAAUACCCCGCUGUCCUGACGGUACCCAAAGAAUAAGCACCGGCUAACUUCGUG